GACGAACGCUGGCGGCGUGCUUAACACAUGCAAGUCGAACGAGAAGAGAUGAGAAGCUUGCUUCUUAUUAAUUCGAGUGGCAAACGGGUGAGUAACGCGUAAGCAACCUGCCCUUCAGAUGGGGACAACAGCUGGAAACGGCUGCUAAUACCGAAUUCGUUCUUUUUGUCGCAUGGCAGAGAGAAGAAAGGGAGGCUCUUCGGAGCUUUCGCUGAAGGAGGGGCUUGCGUCUGAUUAGCUAGUUGGAGGGGUAACAGCCCACCAAGGCGACGAUCAGUAGCCGGUCUGAGAGGAUGAACGGCCACAUUGGGACUGAGACACGGCCCAGACUCCUACGGGAGGCAGCAGUGGGGGAAUCUUCCGCAAUGGCGAAAGCCUGACGGAGCAAUGCCGCGUGAGUGAUGAAGUUUUCGGAUCGUAAAGCUCUGUUGAGAGGGACGAGAGGCAAGGCUAGGAAAUGAGCUUUGUAGGACGGUAACC
rnacentral:rRNA from 1 species